rnacentral:rRNA from 1 species
CGAAGCGGCCACACCCGGCUGGCAAAAUCCGCCUCCUCUCCGAACCUGGAAAUUAAGCAGUCGCGGCCCACAUCAGUAAUGGGCUGGGCGACUUCCCGGGAACGUGCGGUGCUUGCUUCUU